UGAAGACUCAGAGUUAAGGUCCUCCCUUUCUCAUUCUUUUCUCCGUUCCUCUUCCUCUUCCCUGGUUUCUGCCCCUCAACUAUUGACCUGCCUAUCUCCCUCUCCCCACUGUAACAAUAAUGGUCAUAACAAGAAUGCUGGCACACUUCCUCUCCUUAUCCCCCAAGGUACUGGCGCCAACUCCACUAAGCAUUCAGUUUUCCAGCAUCACCUGAUUCUUGGAAGAUAAGUGGGUAGACAUGCAUGGGCCUCCCUGAGUUAGAUACUCUGGCAUGUUUCACAGAUGGUAUUCCAGCCAGUUGGACUGUGCCUUUUAGCCAGAAAGGUUAUGAAAUGCACCAAAUAGGAUCACAGGAUUUGUUGUCAAGGCCAGCCCCUGUUUAUUGAGUGUCUACAAUGGCCUGGCACUUGUGGUAGCUGCAGAGAGAAAUGCAGUGGCGGAGGGGAUGUGAUCCUGCUAUCAAGAAACUUAGCAUUUGAAAAGGAAAAUGAGACCAGCUCACAUCAGAAGAAGAACCUAAGAAAAACAUGGUCAGGGGGAUUCUUUGGGGAUCGUGCCUGAGUGUCUACCCCUAACACUUUUUCCCUUUUCAGCCCCUUCAAGCCAUGAGGUACCAAGGCCACCAGUGGGAUAGUGAACCUGACGCUAAUGGGGAUGCUGAGACAUCUGAGGGUUGAGUUAGAGGUGAAGGAGCAAAGAAAGAGAAAGCCAGCCUCUUUUCAAGGUCUGGGCAAAGAGAGCAGAUUGUGUGCCUCCUGAAGGAAGCCCUUCACAUAUCUUCAUCAGGAUGUGGUCCAUGGAAGGACCCUCUACUUCUGCUAAUCAUGGUAGCCCUGGAGGAGUGAGGCAGAAACUAGCAGAUGAGCUUCUGCAUCUGGUAGGUUGGGUGUCCUGCCAGUCCUUUCAGUGCCUCAGCAGAUGGUAACAGGAAGAUAAACUUCCCUACCAUUUUGGACUUUCUCCUUGCCCAGAACCAAACAUCUGACCUCUACAAACUAAUAGAACAUGACCUUCAAGAAAAACUAUGGCUUCUCCAGUGGGAUUCAGGAACUAGAGGAGAGAAACCCAGAUGGUUAGGACAGACGACUCAUUUGCUGAUAGAAGAGACGGAGAGAUGAAGAUGAAAAUAAUGAGCAUUCUCAAAGAUGUGUCAUUGAAACACCACAAAGAUCUUCUGGACCUACGUUCAUGAUGUCUGCACUGAAAUAGCUAUUAGAUGAAUGAGGGAAAAAUGGCAUAAUUCUUGAUAGCAACUGAAUUAGAGAGCUGCAGGAUUAAGUAAAAGGAAAUACAACAUGCCGAUGUAACUCAACAUAUCCUCAUUAAAUUCAUGACUAUUCAGUGUACUAGACACUGUGGAGUUUCACCCAGAUACCCCCUUCAGGACUGGGGCGCCCUAACUCCCCACCCACUGCUGUCCAUAUCCAAUACUGGUUGAUGCAACGUACAAAGGAAUGGUUCUCUUGUCCCAAUAUGAAAACUCAAACUCUAAUGACAUUUUCUAAUAGAGCAAUCUGAUUAGUUGAAAAUAAAGGAGAUUAAAGGAGAAUUGGACUAGUGUUAUGCUUGUCUGCCAUAUGGAAAGCUGAAAGAUGAUAAAAAUUAAGUGUAUAGAGAAAAGCCAACUGAAAGCUAGAGAUGGUGAAAUAAAAUCUAUUGUGAGAAAAGGUCUGAAAUCAAAGAAGCGUAUAAUUAAGAAAAUAUUGUUUAUUUGGUUCCAAAGAAAGUUAUUUUGGAAACAGGUAAGGACUCUGUUUAUUACCCCUAUAGCCUUUCUGAUUAAAACACUGCAGAAAAUUAUCUACCCGAAUGACAACUGAAAACAAUGGAGAUCUCAAGACCGAAAGGAUCGGAAACAAUGGAUCAUGAUAAUGAUGUAAUUGAGAUGUUGUAAAAUAUUGAGGAUGCAAGUUGAAGAGAAGAGUGAUGACUAAGCCAUGGGCCUGUGAUAAGUGCCUAUCAUGUUCCAAACCCUUGACUAGGGUGCUUUGCAUACAGUGUCCUUUCAUUUAACGAUUUAAUCAGGUCUGGGUUAAUAUGCUGAGCACACACUCAUUUUAAUAGAAUGCCUUCCAGAAACAUUCAUUGAGGACCAGAAAUCAACAUAUCAUUUUAGAAGAAGUUAGGUAAAAAAGGGGCUUAUGCAUCGAAUGUGAUUAUUGCAAUUGGUUGCAGAUAAACACGUUAAAUACUUUGCUGACAGAUUUCGUUCAUAAGACACAAGAUAUAGCAAUUUCAACUGAUGUGCGAGUUCAUAGAUGUUCACGUUGCUUUACAAGUUCAUUAGAAUGGUUUUGCUGGCUGUAAUCAUAGAGGCAUACAUACGUCUGCUGCAAAGACAUCAGAGCUCACCUAAUUUUCCUAGGCUAUCUUAAUAGGGUGUCUGCUGGUUGUACCAUCUCUGAAUGGGGAAUCUCUUAAUCUCACAAUGCAAGGGCAGAGGCUUUCUUUUCCAUCUGGCAUAGCUCUAUCUGAAGACCUUGGGGAUCUUAGGGAGGAGAGUGAUUUCCAACAGAAGGGAGAAGACCUUUGGACAUAUUUUUGUCAUGAAGCAGCCUCCCAUCCUUCCUUGAGUAUGUUUCCUGCUACAUCUGUCUCUGGCAUAGCCUGGGUUUCUCCUGUUUGCCUUGAGAAGGGAGAUUCUUUGGUACAUUUACAGGGCCUUGAAAGCCUGGUGCCUUCCUAGAAGGAAGGAAAUAAUCUUUCUUGUACUACAGAAAAGAACAGAGCACAGCUCUGGCUAAAGUAUGUUGCUAAAGAAAUUUAAACAGAGCAAACUACGGAUACCUCAGAUGCAAGAUUUUGUUACUUAACAAGUCGGAGUAAUAACUACUAAGUCAAUGAAUCUAAGUCUACCCUAUAAACAAGGAUUAUGAUAUUUAAACAGGGCUUUGGCUCACGACAAUUAUGUCGGCAGCCAAUUGUGAUAGCUACCCUGUCUUUCUGCUUCAUCACUUGAAGCGACAGUCUCCAGCUUUCCACUCCGCAUCUAUCAUGAAGACACAUUGAUUUCCUUUCUGGAGAAACACAUAUUUCUUUUCUCCUGCUAAAAAGAUAAAUCUGACAGAUUUUAAUCAAAUGUAGUUGUUCACAACUAUAGAAAUACAUACAGUGCCACAUAUGAAAACAAAAAUACAACACUCCCAAAGGAGAAGGAGUUCUAUGGCCAAGUUUCUUUGUAGAAAAGACUUGCAUU
rnacentral:lncRNA from 10 species